rnacentral:lncRNA from 1 species
AUGGACCGUCACGGCUUGCAGGCAGCCACCCCUGCCUCACAACCAGCAAUCCUACCACCCCAAACUGGUGUGAACAUGAGGAGAAACACAGAAGAAGAGGGCAAACAUCUCAGGACUUAUGCAGGUCUGUAUAAAAAUGACAACUAAAAAUAUCCCAAAAAGAGGUGAUUCAGGACUUCUGGCUGAGUGUUGCCGGGAAUUUUAUCUGCUCUGAUUUAUUUUUGCAGCUUCUGAAAGCCUCGGAUGGUGGAAGAGCCUGAGACUGAGCAUGGAGGCAAGGAGCACGCCUUGAGGAUGGGCCUGGAGGGACCUGAGCUAUCUGCCUACCUUCUCUCUUAAAGAAAAAAAAAAUAGUAAUAAUAAUAAUAAUAAUAAUAAAAAAGAUGCUCAAUGGCA